CCUUUGUACACACCGCCCGUCGCUACUACCGAUUGAAUGGCUCAGUGAGGCCUUCGGACUGGCCCAGGGAGGUCGGCAACGACCACCCAGGGCCGGAAAGUUGUCCAAACUCGGUCAUUUAGAGG
rnacentral:rRNA from 1 species